rnacentral:lncRNA from 1 species
UGAAGCUUCAACAAUCAAUAAUCAAAUCAUUUAUAUUAAUUCAAAAAUUUUGUACUUCUUAAUGUCUUAAUAAAAAAAAUAUGCACAAAAAUGAUGAAAUCAAUUACACUUAUGAAUUGAGAGAAAUGCAAGAUAAUCCAAUCAAGUAUUAGGCGGCCUCCUAUUCCAAUCUGAAUACUAAACUUCUAAUGCUAAUAUCUCUUUUUUGAACUAUUGAAUUUCUCUUAAACUUUACU